AAUACGUUAGAGUGUGUGAUACAGCGUGACCACCGCUAACUGAGUUGCACACGAAGCCCACCAGUACCACUGUUUUGGAGUUGAAUAGAGCACAAUUAGCAAUUGCUAUCUGACUGCUAGGCAUUUGAAAAUGUUGCUCCAUUGAAAGAAACACUUAUUUCUGAUUUAUGUUGUUGCUAUGAAAAUAAGUCAUCCUACAUUUCGAAAAAGACAUGCACAUUAAAAUGGAAACCAUCUCUGCAUCUGUGAAUCCAUCGUUUUCCUUCCGCCAGAGAGCGUUGCCCAUGAGACGACGCGAUCCGGGGGUUGUUCCGCCAGGAGGCAGCUGCUGAGAACCACGGUCCUACACCCACAGGAAACAGGAGCAGGCUGGAACUCUAAGACAAAGUCAUGACAAACUCUGGAGAGUUGGGUGCAGCAGUUCGGGAACCAGUUCCUGCAAGAAUUCCUACCUGGUCUGACCUUUGUAAUAGAAAGCAGGGGCACUGAGGACCGCCUCGCAGGUCCUUACAGCUCAAAGGAAAAGCCCAAGAAGGCAGUCACCUUCUCUCUGCCUUUGACCUAGUGAAUAACCAGUGCAUGUCUUUUUAAAAAAAAGGGUCCCGGGUUCGAUUCCAGUCAAGGGCAUGUACCUUGGUUGCGGG